AGUGAACGCUGGCGGUAGGCUUAACACAUGCAAGUCGAACGGCAGCACAGUAAGAGCUUGCUCUUACGGGUGGCGAGUGGCGGACGGGUGAGGAAUACAUCGGAAUCUACUUUUUCGUGGGGGAUAACGUAGGGAAACUUACGCUAAUACCGCAUACGACCUACGGGUGAAAGCAGGGGAUCUUCGGACCUUGCGCGAUUGAAUGAGCCGAUGUCGGAUUAGCUAGUUGGCGGGGUAAAGGCCCACCAAGGCGACGAUCCGUAGCUGGUCUGAGAGGAUGAUCAGCCACACUGGAACUGAGACACGGUCCAGACUCCUACGGGAGGCAGCAGUGGGGAAUAUUGGACAAUGGGCGCAAGCCUGAUCCAGCCGUACCGCGUGGGUGAAGAAGGCCUUCGGGUUGUAAAGCCCUUUUGUUGGGAAAGAAAAGCAGCAGGUUAAUACCCCGCUGUUCUGACGGUACCCAAAGAAUAAGCACCGGCUAACUUCGUG
rnacentral:rRNA from 1 species